rnacentral:rRNA from 1 species
AUUGAACGCUGGCGGCAGGCCUAACACAUGCAAGUCGAACGAGUGGCGGACGGGUUAGUAAUGUCUGGGAAACUGCCCGAUGGAGGUGGAUAACUACUGGAAACGGUAGCUAAUACCACAUACCAUCGGAUGUGCCCAGAUGGGAUUAGCUAGUAGGUGGGGUAACGGCUCACCUAGGCGACGAUCCCUAGCUGGUCUGAGAGGAUGACCAGCCACACUGGAACUGAGACACGGUCCAGACUCCUACGGGAGGCAGCAGUGGGGAAUAUUGCACAAUGGGCGAAAGCCUGAUGCAGCCAUGCCGCGUGUAUGAAGAAGGCCUUCGGGUUGUAAAGUACUUUCAGCGAGGAGGCGUUACUCGCAGAAGAAGCACCGGCUAACUCCGUGCCAGCAGCCGCGGUAAUAC